CCUACGGGAGGCAGCAGUGGGGGAUAUUGCACAAUGGGGGAAACCCUGAUGCAGCGACGCCGCGUGAGUGAAGAAGUCAUUCGUGAUGUAAAGCUCUAUCAGCAGGGAAGAAAAUGACGGUACCUGACUAAGAAGCCCCGGCUAACUACGUGCCAGCAGCCGCGGUAAUACGUAGGGGGCAAGCGUUAUCCGGAUUUACUGGGUGUAAAGGGAGCGUAGACGGCCAGGCAAGUCUGGAGUGAAAGCCCGGGGCUCAACCCCGGGACUGCUUUGGAAACUGUAGGGCUGGAGUGCAGGAGGGGUAAGCGGAAUUCCUAGUGUAGCGGUGAAAUGCGUAGAUAUUAGGAGGAACACCGGUGGCGAAGGCGGCUUACUGGACUGCAACUGACGUUGAGGCUCGAAGGCGUGGGGAGCAAACAGGAUUAGAUACCCCAGUAG
rnacentral:rRNA from 1 species